rnacentral:rRNA from 1 species
GACGAACGCUGGCGGCGUGCUUAACACAUGCAAGUCGAACGGUGAAGCGCCUUCCUUUUUGGUGGGUGUGGUUGGGUGGCGACCGGGGGAUUAACACGUGAGUAACCUGCCCCCUUCUUCUGGAUAACCUCAUGAAAGUGUGGCUAAUACGGGAUAUUCUGGGUCUGUCGCAUGAUGGGUCUGGGAGAGGUAGUGUUUCGGUGGUGAUUGGGCGCGCGGCCGAUCAGCUUGUUGGUGGGGUGGUGGCCUACCAAGGCGGUGACGGGUAGCCGGCCUGAGGGGGUGGACGGGCAUAGUGGGGAGGAGAGACGGCGCAGCCUCCUACGGGCGGCAGCAGUGGGGAAUAUUGCACAAUGGGCGCAAGGACGAUGCAGCGACGCGGCGUGGGGGAUGGAGGCCGUGGCGUUGUGAACCUCUUUCGGGAGUGAAGGAGUAGGGGCGCGUCUGUGGGUGGGUUGACGGUAGCUGGAUAAGAAGCGCCGGCUAACUACGUG